rnacentral:rRNA from 1 species
AUGGGGGAAACCCUGACGCAGCAACGCCGCGUGGGUGAAGAAGGCCUUCGGGUCGUAAAGCCCUUUCGGACGGGACGAACGCUCCGCGGUGACAACCCGCGGAGUCUGACGGUACCGUAAGAAGAAGCACCGGCUAACUCCGUGCCAGCAGCCGCGGUAAUACGGAGGGUGCAAGCGUUGUUCGGAAUUACUGGGCGUAAAGCGCGUGUAGGCGGCCUUGCAAGCCAGACGUGAAAGCCCUCGGCUUAACCGGGGAAGUGCGUCUGGAACUGCUCGGCUCGAGUACGGGAGAGGGAGGCGGAAUUCCCAGUGUAGAGGUGAAAUUCGUAGAUAUUGGGAGGAACACCGGUGGCGAAAGCGGCCUCCUGGACCGAUACUGACGCUGAGACGCGAAAGCGUGGGGAGCAAACAGGAUUAGAUACCCUGGUAGUCCACGCGGUAAACGAUGGGCACUAGGUGUGGGGGGUAUCCACUCCUCCCGUGCCGCAGCUAACGCACUAAGUGCCCCGCCUGGGGAGU